AGGAUGAACGCUGGCGGCGUGCCUAAGAUAUGCAAGUCGCGCGAACCGCAAGGUUAGCGGCGGACGGGUGAGUAACACGUAGGAAUCUACCCUAAAGUGGAGCAUAGCUCUCCGAAAGGAGAGGUAAUUCUUCAUGUGAUCGAGAGAUUAAAGCCGCAAGGCGCUUUAGGAUGAGCCUGCGCAAGAUUAGCUUGUUGGUGGGGUAAAGGCCUACCAAGGCGACGAUCUUUAGCUGGU
rnacentral:rRNA from 1 species